AGGUUAAUUAGCUAUUUAAGUAUUUAUUUUGAAAAUAAAAGAAAAAUUUUUUUUAUUAAUCUG
rnacentral:tRNA from 1 species